UGGGGAAUAUUGCACAAUGGAGGGAACUCUGAUGCAGCGACGCCGCGUGAACGAAGAAGGCUUUCGAGUCGUAAAGUUCUUUUAUAUGGGAAGAUAAUGACGGUACCAUAAGAAAAAGCCCCGGCUAACUACGUGCCAGCAGUCGCGGUAAUACGUAGGGGGCUAGCGCUGUCCGGAAUCACUGGGCGUAAAGGGUUCGCAGGCGGAAAUGCAAGUCAGGUGUAAAAGGCAGUAGCUUAACUACUGUAAGCAUUUGAAACUGCAUAUCUUGAGAAGAGUAGAGGUAAGUGGAAUUUUUAGUGUAGCGGUGAAAUGCGUAGAUAUUAAAAAGAAUACCGGUGGCGAAGGCGACUUACUGGGCUCAUUCUGACGCUGAGGAACGAAAGCGUGGGUAGCAAACAGG
rnacentral:rRNA from 1 species